GAUGAACGCUGGCGGCGUGCCUAAUACAUGCAAGUCGAACGGAGGAUGUAGCAAUACUUCCUUAGUGGCGAACGGGUGAGUAACGCGUUGGUGACCUGCCCCGAAGAGGGGGAUAACAGUUCGAAAGAAUUGCUAAUACCCCAUGUGGUCAUCAGGGUUUGAUACCUGAUGAUUAAAGGAGUAAUCCACUUCGGGAGGGGCCUGCGUCCCAUCAGCUAGUUGGUAGGGUAAUGGCCUACCAAGGCGAUGACGGGUAGGGGACCUGAGAGGGUGGCCCCCCACAAUGGAACUGAAACACGGUCCAUACAUCUACGGGUGGCUG
rnacentral:rRNA from 1 species